UUCUCCAGCACCCUCCUGAGGCAGCUGAGAGCAGGUCCUCUGCAGAAGAGAGCCAGGGGCAUGGAGAGCUCAGGCCUGCAGCAGAGGGAGUGCAGAUGUGGGGGAAGCUGAGCCAGGAAUUCACAGGCCCAGCCCUUGGAGGGGGCAGUGCAGGGCUUCUGAUUAGGGCCCUGAAGCGCCUUCCUUUUCAUAUCUGCAAGGACACUGGAGGCAACACCCAGGGACACUCUGAGAAAACCUGAACCUGCUUUAUUAACAGGACUGAGGGUCAGGGACACUGGAGGCAACACCCAAGGCCACUCUGAGAAGGCCUGAACCUGCUUUAUUAACAGGACUGAGGGUCAGGGAAUGAGAAACACUGGGGGCUCCGGGUGGUCUCCCUCUGCCUCUGGACCACACGUGCAGGACAUGAGGCUGCUGCAGGAGCAGCUCUGAAAGCUGAGUAGUCAGGGUCCUUGAGAAUGGGGAAGCUCACCUGCCUUGGAGCCUGGAAAAUCCUUCCUGGCACAGAACUCUGAUGAUUUAAAAAUGAGAAGGGAGAGAAUUGCCGUCACAUUAGAAGGCAUAGAAAAUCCUUAAAA